UACGUAGGGGGCUAGCGUUGUUCGGAAUUACUGGGCGUAAAGCGCACGUAGGCGGCUUUGUAAGUUAGAGGUGAAAGCCCAGGGCUUAACCCUGGAAUUGCCUUUAAGACUGCAUCGCUAGAAUUGUGGAGAGGUGAGUGGAAUUCCGAGUGUAGAGGUGAAAUUCGUAGAUAUUCGGAAGAACACCAGUGGCGAAGGCGACUCACUGGACACAUAUUGACGCUGAGGUGCGAAAGCGUGGGGAGCAAACAGG
rnacentral:rRNA from 1 species